UUGCCCCAGCUCGCGCCACCGGCAGCGCCGCCCUUGCCCUCGACCCAGCGCGCGCUGCCUCCCUCGCCCUCGCCACAGCGUGCGCAGCCGCUGCGCUCCACCUAGCCCGCACCGCCGACCUCGCAGAGCGCCACCGGAUUCCGCCCUCCUCACAGCGCGCUGCCUUCCUCAUCUUCCCCCAUAUCAAUAGAGCAACCGUCUUCCUGCCCAACGACACUGAACCACCUCCAAGCCGGAGCGCCCUCUCCCGAAGAAGACCGGCCACGCCCGAAUUCUGCCCUUCUUCUUCUUCAACUCCGGCACACUUCACAGGCGUCUUCUCCAGUGAGGCUUAGAAUGGAGCCCAAUCACCCUAGACCAGAGGAGGUGGAGGAAUAUCACAUGGUAGUCAGUCAGGAAUUUGGAAGUGAAGAAGAGGGAUAUGAGUUCUAUAACAACUAUGCAAAAGAAAAAGGAUUUAGCAUCAGGCAUGAUGAUAAGGAGUGCAUGCCUGGUACGGAAAUGGUAAUACGAAGGCGAUUUUGCUGCUAUAAGCAAGGAUACCGUUUGCUGAAGUACUUUGAAGCAUCUAAUAAGAAAAGGGAGCCAAGACCUCUCACCCGUUGCGGUUGUCAAGCGAUGAUUGAGAUCAAGCGGAAUGCACACACGGGCGAUGGUUUGUGAACAAAUUUUUGGAUGAGCAUGCCCAUCCUUUGGCAAGCCUUGAUGAUGUAUGUUUUCUACGGUCUCAUCGUCGGCUAACCGAUGCCCAGAAAGCCGAUGCGAUUGAAUAUGGAGUUGGUGGCCUUCGUUCAUAUUAGAUAAUGGAAGUUAUGGAGAAGCAGCAUGGAAGUUAUGCAAAAGUCGGGUUUGUUUCCAAGGAUUUGUAUAACUUCUUUGCGAGGUACAAGAAGAGGAGGAUCUUAGGGAGAGAUGCUCAAUUUUUGCUAAAUCACAUGAGGGCACAAGAAGAACGCGAUCCAGAAUUCUUCUUCAAAUACACCGCAGAUGGCGAUGGUUGCCUGAAAAAUAUAUUCUAGGCAGAUUCGCAGUCGAGGAUGGAUUUUUUUGCAUUUGGUGGCAUUGUGGUGUUUGACAGCACGUACCGAGUGAACGGUUACAAUCUCCCGUUUGUGCCAUUUGUUGGAGUGAAUCAUCACCGUAGCACGGUUAUCUUUGGUUGUGGUAUUGUUUCUGAUGAGACCUUCUCGUCCUAUGAGUGGCUCCUGCAGACGUUUCUAGAGGCCAUGAACUGGAGGCAUCGUAGGUCUGUGAUCAUUGAUUGGGAUGUUGCAAUGAGAAAAGCAAUUAGGAAGGUUAUGCCGGGGACAAACCAUCGGUUGUGCAGUUGGCAUAUUGAACAGAAUAUGGUACGCCACCUGCGUGGUCCCAUGCUUACUGAAUUCAGGAAAUUCAUCUACUAUCCGAUGGAAGAGUAUGAAUUCAAAAUACGCUGGGCUCAGUUUGUGGAAAAGCAUGAGAUCACAGACAAGAAUGUCUGGAUAUCCAAGAUGUACAAACUGAGGAAGAAGUGGUCAGCAUCUUAUACGAAAGGAAAAUAUUUCUUGGGCAUGUUGAGCAACCAGCGCAGUGAAAGUCUCAAUUCAAGGCUUCACAGGCAUCUUGAUCGGAAAAUGUCAUUGGUUGACUUAUUGGAGCACUAUGAGCAUUGUCUGUCAUGCAUGUGUAGGAAUGAGGGUGAGUUGGAUGCAAAGGCCGCAAAUUCAGUCCCCUUCACUAGAAUAACUGCCGACCCAUUAGAGAAAAAUGCUGCACGCAUUUAUACACCAGAGAUGUUCAAGAAGGUAAGGGAAUGUAUCUGGAAAUCAUCAUCUUGGGAGAUUGGAGAUGUCAUAGAGGAAGAUGGUCUUUUCAGCUAUAAAGUUACAUUAAAAGAACAUGGGCAUAGGUUCAUUGUCCAGUUUGUUUUUGAUGGCUCGGUGGUCGAUGGUGCAAAUUGUGAUUGAUGAUGAUGAAGCGUGAAGACAUUCCAUGUGCUCACAUUUUUGCUGUUUGGAAGCACCAUCGUUUGGACACAAUUCCUAGAUGCCUUGUUAUUACAAGGUGGACAAUGCGGGCGAAGGCUGCCUUUGUGUUUGAGAGAAAUGCCAAUACCCAUGUGUGGUCUGAACCGAUCGAGCGAUACCGUGAACUUCGCAACAUGGCUAGUACUGCUUUAUUCAAAGCGUCGAAGAACUCGGAGAUUUCACGGCAUGUGAAGGAUUUUCUGCAAAGUAUUGUAGGUGGCCCAAUCGAUGCUGACGGGGAAACGGAGCUGACUACAUUCGGUCCUUUGCCCGCCCAUUUUUCUGGUUAUAGCCAAUUCUCUAGAGAGAAAAUCCUUGACCCAAAGAAGAUUUUUCCAAAAGGUGCUCCAUGUAAGGAGAGAUUGAAGCCAUUCAAUGAGAAAUAUAGGAAAACCAAUGCAGACGGGAAAAGGAUCAGAACUUGUAGCGAAUGUGGCAAACCAAAUCACGACAAGCGAACAUGUCAUUUCAUGAAGCCACCACCUGUGACGUGAUGAAGUUCAAAUCUGUCGAAACAGGACAGCCUAGAAAGACAAUUUGUAAACCAUCGUGAUGUUGUUCAAGCAGAGCUCAAAAAUAUGGGAAACCGACUCGACGAGAUGAAACAUGCAUCAGAAGAGGUCAAGGCAUCACACGCCACAGAUGAAGAAAACCCUAUAGCCAACACUGGACCUACGAGCGGCAACCAGGACGGACAGCGGCCAAAGCGAGUUCGUAAUAAUGAUUCUCAAAAAAGUAAUCCAUACGUAUACUAUGGCACUGCAAAGAGACAGAAAAAGCAACAUGCCAAUGGAGCCGCUGUUGAUUGUACCGCAACGCUUGCAUGGAUUAAUGACCAACAGAAAUCAAAACUAUUGAUCUUGAUUGAAGACGCAGAACUACGUAAAAAAGACUUGGAAUGCCUAACACAAGAGUUUGAGAAAGACAGUUCACAGAAAUACUUGACAGAUUCCAUAAGUUUUAUUGACAGUAUUAUUAUCAAUUGCUAUCUUUCAAUGCUAAAACCUAAUACCGAGUGCAAUGCAGAUAGUCAAUGCAGGGAUCUAUUACAUGCGAUCGUUGAGCGACCACCAAGGAGACAAAAAGGUCUGGGUUGAGUGCACAUGGAUAGUGAUCCAGCUAGUCAAAGCUGGGAAAUCCAAACAAAGGUCGCUCGAUAAGCUCAGCAAGCUCUCAAGAAGAAAUAAAGCAAAAAAUUAUCUAAAGCAUGACAUGAUUUUCCUCCCCUUAAAUCACUCAAGGCAUUGGUACUUAUCUGCGGUCAAUCCCAGCCUUAAAGAAAUUCACAUACUCGACUCCUUGCAUAAUCCUGCAGCUAGCAAGGAGAGUAGUUGUACAGACCGGACGGAAUUGUCAGAAGUGCUCCAAGGAAUGGAGAGGUACAUGGAGUUGCUGGACACAACUGAAGAUAAUACGGCACACACAAAUGCUAUAUGGACAGAUUUCAAGGUAUCAACCUGGAAAAGAAAGUUCAUACGUGGGCUGCCACAGCAGAGAGAUGGUUCCUCAUGCGGCUUGUUCAUGCUUAAAUUAUGGAGAACUGGUUGGGAGAAAAGUUACAGGAGAGAUUCACGCAGCGCCAAAUUGAUACAUUCAGAAAGGACUUACCAUGCACGUUGCUCCGCUGUAAUCUGAACAAGGCGCCAUAUAUGGACAGUCCUCCAGAGGGAAACUCUCCUCAAAUAUCUAAUGGCGGUCUAUCCGAAGUUCAAGAAGUUGAUGCAGUCAGAAACCCUAUGAUAUCUAACAUCACUAGUGCUGAGUAAUAGACUAUUAAGUUUUUUUGGUGUUCCUGUGAGAACACUCCCACAUGUAUAGAAUCAGCAUCAUAGUUUGUAGUAGUAUUGCAUUUUUGAGCGUUGCAAAGAAUGCAUUUUUGUAGUAGUAUUCCAUAUUUCUCAUGCAGACUACCGAAAGUGCGACAUCAUUUACUUCUAAUAUUUAUUUCUUUAACUAAGAAUUAGCUUACUUUUCCAUGGUUUUGUAUAUGCUUGAAAAUCUAAUAUUA